rfam:Brassica oleracea var. oleracea cultivar TO1000 chromosome C7, whole genome shotgun sequence
GGAAUAUAAGAACCCGUUUCUUAACUUUUAACUAAAAAGGCUAAAAACCUAUUCUUAAAUAAGAGUUUUAAGAGCCGGUUCUUAACUUUUUUAGUUAAAAGUUAAGAGACGGGUUCUUAUAUUCC